rnacentral:rRNA from 1 species
AACGCGAAGAACCUUACCUGGGUUCAAUCUUGCUUGCACCACCCGUUAUGGGGUGUACCCGCAAGGGACAGGCAGGACGGUGCUGCAUGGCUGUCGUCAGCUCGUGCCGUGAGGUGUUGGGUUAAGUCCCCUAACGAGCGCAACCCCCGGCGUCGGUUAUACCUCCGACGCAACUGCCGCGCACAACGCGGAGGAAGGUGGGGAUGACGUCAAGUCAGCACGGCCCUUACGCCCAGGGCGACACACACGCUACAAUGGUCAGGACAAUGGGCUGCCACUCCGCGAGGAGGAGCUAAUCCCGCAAACCUGGCCUCAGUUCGGAUGGUAGGCUGCAACUCGCCUGCCUGAAGUCGGAGUUGCUAGUAACCGCAGGUCAGCACACUGCGGUGAAUACGUUCCCGGGCCUUGUACACACCGUGUCGA